AUAGGAUCCAGUGCAGAACACACACUUCAGAGCUAUCUGGCCCAAAGGGAAAGAAGGCAACGUGUGGAGCUCCUUUUCUCAGGCACCCACCAUCAUGUAACUCUCCUCAUCACCCAGUUUGGAGAUUUGUUCUAGAGUGGCUGUUGCAUCCCUCCUCCUCAGGUCCCCACUGCGAGGAGGAACGUGCAGAGGCCCAGAUGGGAAGGAGGCCUGGGACAGCUGAGGCUCUCUGGGACCUGGACCUCUUUGUUGCUCCUGCUUUGGCCUGAAAAGCUCCCCUGAGCCUUCAGGAAGGGCAUGCAGCCAAAGGCCCAUCGAGAAGGUAGACUCAUUUCCUUAUAAAUUAUGUGGUUAUGAGGGCGGGAGUUUCACAUGUGGCUUUUUGCAUAAUCGGGUUAUCAGGUAGUUAGCCCAUUAGAGGGCUCAUAAAUUGUCCAGCUGCUCUGACUCACAGCAUGAGGCACCUGUGUGGUGAGCCAGAAGGAUGGAGCUCUCAGGAGGAACCUGUUUGGUGGCCUGCCUAUGUGGUGUCAGGUGGAGAUACAUUUUGCAUCCUAAGUGUCACAAAAACCUGAGCUUUAGAAUCAGUCUGAGUUCAAGUCUUGGCCCCACCACUUGCUGGCUGUGUGAUGUUGGGCAAGUAACUAACCCUCCCUGAGCCUUUGUUUCCGUGUUAAGGCAAUGUUGAUGGUUUUAAGGUGGAGGAUUGGCCUGGGAAGUCCAGCUGGCUGCUCCAACAGAUCCCUGAGGAGGUCAGUGUGUGGGUGUGGCCACCAAUUCCUGGAAUCCAAUCCUUGGAUUUCCCUCAGCAGUGUAGUGCUUGGCACUUUGACAAACCGUUGGGCAGGAUCUGCUAAACUCGCUGUACUGGUUUCCUAGGACUGCAGUAACGAAGUGCCACAAACGAGGUAGCUUAAAACAACAGGAAUUUAUUCUCGCACAGUUCUGGAAGCUAGAAGUCAGAAAUGAGGGUGUCAGCAGGGCCAUGCUCUCUCCAAGGCUCGAGGAUGUGUCCUCCUGGGGGGGUCACCAUUGCCCCCUAUCUAAGGGGCUCACUUUUCUGUGGAGGCUGGGGGCAGAGCACAAUAACACAUUUGUCAGUCCUAAUGAUAUCGGGAGCCCUCACUGCAGGAAGAAAGGGGGGAACAUUAUGGAGCCUAAGCUAAUUGGGAAGGAUAUUUGGGGGUCCUCACAUCCUCUCCUGGCCCCUUAAGAUGGCCCUGGAUCCUCAGCAUCCUGGUGUGCUCCCCAGGAGUGGGCAGGAGCAGUGAGCUCUGCCAAGUGCUGCCCCUUCUGGAUCUCCCUCUCCCUGUCCCAGGGGCUCGCCACUCCGCCAUGUCCCACCACCUUAGACAGGGCUGGUGGGGACUGGUGGGAGAUGCCUGAGGAGCGGGGUGCCUGCCUGAAGGGGCUGCUUGAGGAGCUGACUUAGUGGAUGCCAGGCAGGCUGGGAGAGUGGGGCUGUCUCGAUUCCCAAGAAUUCAGCUUCAGAACAAGUGGGGAUUAAGAGUGUCAUGAACUUGGUGCAUGGGGACAUGCCCCUGGGACAAUGCCACUGAGCUGACCUCCUCCUUUCCUUUCUGUAUUAGUCAGAGUUCUCCAGAUAAACAGAACCAAUAGGAUAUGUGUGUGUGUGUGUGGUGUGUGUGUGUGAGAGAGAGAGAGAGAUUUAUUUUAAGGAAUCAGCUCAUACAGUUAUGGAGGCUGGUAAGUUCAAAAUCUAUAGAGUGGGCCACCAGGCUGCAGUUAAAGUCCAAAGGCUAUUGGCUGGCAUAAUUUCCUCUUACUCAAAGGAGGGUCAACCUUUUGUUCUAUUCAGGCCUUCACCUGAUUGAAUGAGGCCCAUUCACAUUAUGGAGAGCAAUCUGCUUUACUCAAAGCCCACUGAUUUGAAUGUUAAUCGCAUCCAAAAGCACCCUCACAGAAAUAUCCAGAAUAAUGUCUGACCAAAUAUCUGGGCACCCCAUGACUCAGCUAAAGUGACACACAAAAUUAACCUCUGUACUAAAAUGACUUUAACCAUCCACAGGAAUGGUAGCUCCCAGUCAUUGAGGACUUACCUUGUGUUGGAGGCCUUGUGUGUACUUCCCAACACACCUGUAUGGUAAGUGUUAUGCUUGUUUCACAGAUGUGUCAACUGGAUCUUGCCCAACGUGACAGCCAAUGUUGACGCCCCACCUAGAUCUCUUUUUCCAGCCAGUGAGCUCUCCCCUAGGUGCUCCAGUGCUAUAUAGUUCAAAGCUUGCAUCUGAGACCUUCCUCUGGAGGAUUGCCUGUGGCUGACACCCUUGUCCGGAACCUCUUGGGAACUUGCAUCCCCUUUCCCUUCCCCCACCCCCUAUUUUCUAGGUGUGGACGAUGACUGAUUGACACAGGGGGACAAAGCCUGGCCUGCUUACCUCAAGGGGGGACAACUCUGGACCAUUCACCCCCCGGAGUUCCCCAUGGGAUCAGGCUGAGGUUAGACUCUGCUCAGACUCCAUCCUUGUGGAGCAUCUUCCCCGCCCUGUCCUGCUUCCCUCCUUCCCCUUCUCCUGAGAUCAUUUCCUCAGUAAACAUGUGCUCAAGAAUCCUCGUCUCAGGCUCUGAUUCUAGAGUAUGGGAUGAGGAAUUUAAAGCCGGGUCUAGCUGAUUUCAAAGUUGGCCUGUUGAAACCCCGUGUUGUCCAUAGCUGAGUGGUGAGCUGGCAGGUGUGAACGCAUUCUUGGGGGAAGGGGGUCUUGGCUAAGGAGAGGAGAGAGUCCCAGCCUUUAGGAAGGUCUUGGUGGCUUUAUUACUCCUUCCUUCACUUGCUCCCGCCUUGCUGCUGUCUCAUUCCACAAAACAUGGCAGCAGCAACAAGCUACUCAGUUAGGUACCUCCCCAGGGGCAGGGAGAGGCAAGUUGGCGGCUACACUUGUGGAUGUGGGGACUGUGGGUCUGUAAGUCCCAUCCCCAAGGCUUCUCAGAGCGGAGAGUUAGUUACAUCUUUCAGGAGCAGGAGGCCAGAUGUGCUGCUACAGGAAUGGACUCGAAGUCCUGAGCAGCUCUUUGAGAGAGAGCAUGAGCUAAAACCCGGCAGGGAGGCUGCCUGGUGAGCAGGCUUCAGGCCUAGGCUGUGGUCCGAGGCCCCCAUUCGCAGCCCCCUGCCUGUGGGAGUGUUGAGUCAUCACCCUGGGAAGGCCUCUGUUGGAUUUUUCCAUAACUGGGAGGUUUAGAAAUGCCCCAGUCACACCUGCUCCAGUUAGAAUUUUGCCUCCAGCUUUCCCAGGAGGCACCCAGCCCUUUCAGAGACAGCUGCUUAAUUAAGGACAGCAAAUAAGUGAGAGCUGGUGCUCCCAGGUGGAGCUGAGGGAAUCUGGACCCCCCAGAGGGUGGAGCCACCGCCUGGCAGAGGAAUUGCUAGGGGUGGCUGUGGGAUGGGGGAAGGGCUCCUUGCUGGCCCCCAA
ensembl:lncRNA